AUUGAACGCUGGCGGCAGGCCUAACACAUGCAAGUCGAACGAGUGGCGGACGGGUGAGUAAUGUCUGGGAAACUGCCUGAUGGAGGGGGAUAACUACUGGAAACGGUAGCUAAUACCGCAUACCAUCAGAUGUGCCCAGAUGGGAUUAGCUUGUGGGUGGGGUAACGCCUCACCAAGGCGACGAUCCCUAGCGGGUCUGAGAGGAUGACCAGCCACACUGGGACUGAGACACGGUCCAGACUCCUACGGGAGGCAGCAGUUGGGAAUCUUGCGCAAUGGACGCAAGCCUGAUCCAGCUAUGCCGCGUGUAUGAAGAAGGCCUUCGGGUUGUAAAGUACUUUCAGCGGGGAAGCGUUAUCUGAAGAAGAAGCACCGGCUAACGACGUGCCAGCAGCCGCGGUAAUUC
rnacentral:rRNA from 1 species